rnacentral:lncRNA from 1 species
UUUUCUCUUGAAUACUCCGGCGCUGGGGCACUCAGCAUCUCCCAAAGUAAUUAGGUCCAUUGCCGUACUGUUCUAAGAGCUAGGAAGUUUUUUCCCCCUGAUAUUCAACUGGCUUUUUGUGUCGACGCACUGUGCCAUGCACUGUGGGGUGAUUGGGAACAGAUCUUGUUCCUCCUUUGUAUGACAGUCUUUCAAGUAUUUGAAAAGUACUAUCCUAUCUCCCCUCUGUCUUCUUUUCUCAAGGCUAAACAGACCCAGUUCUUUCAGUCUUUCCUCAUAGGGCUUGGUUUCUAGUCCCUUGAUUAUCUUUGUUGCCCUCCUCUGAACCUGUUCCAGUUUCUUGGCAUUUUUCUUAAAGUGUGGCAUCUGGAACUGGACACAGAACUCAAGAUGAGGCCUAGCAAGUGCCACAUAAGGGGGAAAGUAUUACAGUGGACCCUCUACUUACGGAAUUAAUCCGUAUUGGAACAGUGGCUGCAAGUCGAAAAGUCUGUAGGUUGAAUCACCAUUGGCCUACAAUGCACUGAAAACCGAUUAAUCCCAUAACUGGCAGUUUUUAUUCUAUUUUUGUUCCAUUUUGGUUUUUUUCUGGUCUGUAAGUUGAUUUUCCGGCUGCAAGUCGAAUCUAAAUUUUGCGGCCAGAGAAGUCUGUAACUCGAAAAGUCUGUAAGUCGAGCCAUCUGUAAGUCGAGCCUCCACUGUACUUCAUGGGAUUUGGAGACUGUACAUCUGUUAAUGCAUUUGCCUUUUCUGCAGCCACAUCCCACUGUUAACACAUAUUCAGAUUUUAAUCUACAACAAUACCAAGAUCAUUCUCUCUCAUAGUAUUACUGAGCCAAGCGUUCCCCAUCUUGUAACUGUUGUGUUAUGUCUCCUUCUCGAUUUAAGGGAGAAUUGAAGUCAUCUACAGAAAAUAAAGAGAAACAUGAGAGCAAGGGAGUCAUGAUGCCUAUUUCUCAGAGAAAGAAAAGGCACUCUGAAGAAUCCACGAGUCAGGACAGAAGACAGAGGAGAAGAGAGGGCGGUGAGCAGGCUCCUUCUGAAGAUACUAACUCAGAUGAGGGUGAUCUUCCUGUUGUGUCAAAGAGCAAGAGAAAGGUGAGAAGACCAAAGGAAGGGAAGGGAAGAGACGUUGAAGAAGGAAUAGAGGAGAGAGAUUCCAGGAUCAGAGAAAGUCAUUCCCAUAGAAGACACAGGGAAAAGUUUGUGUACAAAGAAGAGAAGAGCAAAAGAAGGGGCACAAGGCAAGAGGAUCGGAAUUCAAGACAACACGAUAUUGAUGCCAAAAGGUGUAAACUAAAGGGCAUUGAAGACAAUGAGAAGCAUGCUCUCAAAAGGAAAUAUCAGAGGCAACCAAGCAAAAGCAAACAUGUCCCCAAUAUAGAUUCUCUAAGAGCAGAAUGUGAGGAAGGCUCUUUUUGGGAGCCAGAGUCAUGCCAGGUGGAAAGUCAUGAUGAAAGCAGGGAACAGUAUCAAAGGAAGCCUCAUUGUGCGGGUAAUGGCAAAGCUACCAACAGGAAAAAGGGAGGACACGAAAAGACUCCUGCUAAGAAAUCGGGUAGGGUAUUUUUGAAAGCAAGUCCUGUGAAUUCAGAAGAUUCCUCUUGCUCAGACUCCCAUUGGAAACAAAGAAGAAGGGAUAAGGAGAGUGGAAAGAAGAAGAAAACCAGCAAGGAGAGAAGGAGCUCUUUAGAAGACAGUGAAGAAGAUCUCUGUGCUAAGGUAUCGUUGCCAACUAUUAGGGGAACUCAGUGCUCAGAUGAGAGAAGAGGCUUCCGGGAGCUUCAGGAGACAACCAGUGGGAGUGAAGAAAAGCUAGAGGUUGAAGUUGAAAAACAAGAAUCUCAGGAUGAGGAGCAUGACUCUGAUGAAGAAAGAAGAGGGAAGAGUAAAAGAGCUUUGCCAAUAAAAGUUAUGCCAAUGGAUAGGGAUGGUGAUAAUGAAAGCUGUUCUGAGAACCACAGUAGAGAUGCAACACAAGAGAGAGGAGGAGAGGAAGAAGAAGAUGAUGAUGGAGAAAAUGAAAAUCCAUCAGAAAAAGAAAGCAGCAGGGAAGACUUAAAUGGAGAGCAGAGUAGGUCUGGGAGUGAAACGGAGGAGAAUAAGAUAAGUAGAUUUAGAAAAAGAAGUAGCGAGACAGCAAGACCACUCCCCAGGACUAUAAGCCAGGUGAAGGAAAGCAAGAGUGUUGAUGGAAUGGCCUGCGUUGAAGCCACAUCCUCACCACAGAUGAUGAAGCAUAGAAGUCAACCUUCUGACCUGGCUGAUCUAUCCAAAGAAACAGCAGGUUGGGAAACGCAGACAAGCCAAGAUGCAAGAGCAAAGUUGAACAGUGUGGUUUUGCUUGCCAAGAGACACAAUCAUCUGACUUCACAAUCCCAAAUCCUACUGAAUCUGAAAAGCAAGCACAAAGAUGCUAAAUCAAGACUGUUGGUCAGAGAGGAGCGCUGUGCUUCUCACCAAACAGCAGAAAUUGUCCCUCUUUUGGAGAAAACUCAAAGUGUCUGUGCAAAAAAGGUUACCACAACAAACAACAAAGUGGUUGCUAAGACUAAGGAGUGUAAACAAUCAAGAUUAUCAACCACUUUGAGCUCACAUUCUAAACCUAAAAAACUUUCUGUUCAGAAGAAAAAGAAAGUUGAAAAAGUAACAGGAAAGAUCAAAAUGUCAUCAGAUAGUACUGGAGAGUCAACAGAAGAGGAGGAAGCUGUAGAGGAGGACCAAACUGGAAAAAAGGUCACUGAAAAAGAUUUAACAUCCAAGCAAGCAAGAACCAAGUCUCUACAAACCCUUUCAGCAUUUAGGAGGGUAACCCAUUGGCUUAGCCAUAAGCCUCUCAAGAAAGCCAGUUUGAAAGAUCGUUUCUUAAGUAUAGUACGUGCAGUUGGUAUCUCAGGAUGGCUCCUAAGAAGGUUUCGUAAGAGGAAAAGCAGCAAUAAGCCAUUUGGAUUCCGAAGAAGUGUGGCCGUUCGAAUUUUUAGCACAGUUGGGUUGGCCAGGAGAUGUAGGAGGGCUUCCUACAACCCAACAGGAGAACAAAUGAAAAAGGAUAUCUCUCACAAAAUAUCUUCUUGUUCCUUGUUAGAACAUGAUCAAACUGGUGAAAAAGAUACAAUCAUGGGGGAAGAACUUGAAGAAGAAACACAAUCUUCAAAUAUUUUUUCUUGUAAUGAAGUCAACUUACAACCUCUGUCAAUAAAUCCCAAUGGAAAGUCAGAGGAAGAGAAAAACAGUUUUACUGAUGCAAAGUAUGCCAUUGUAUUUCCGAGAGUCCAUCAACUAGUAAAGUCAAAAACCCCUUCUGUUGGCAGCUCUGGUGAUAGCCAAUCACAGUUGCGGUCAGGUGGUCCACCAAGAAGGAAAACAGUGAUGCCCAUGCAAUAUAAUGUAUCAAAAGCUAAUGAGAAAAGGAACAGUCAAGGGUUUCCUUGCAGUCUUCAGACUGAACCACCCAGACCAGAAGGGAAGGUGCCAUGGGUCCCUCCACCUUCCUGCUUGGAGGAGGAAGAUGUGGCGGACUUCAUUCAGACAGCCACCGCACCGGAAACAAUGAAUCGUGUGCACUGGACUCAGCACCUGCCUCUUACCUGUGACCCUGCAGCAUGGCUGAAUUCUGAAACGCUCCUCCCACGGCUCACCAUUGAGAACUUGAGCAAGUGGGCUUUCUACAAAGACCAGGAUCUUGCUAAGUCUCCUAGGUCAAAAAAAGCAUUGCAAGGAAGAUGGGAGGCAGAAGAUGCUAGUGAAGAUAUCCUUGAGAAGGACAUGGCACACAAACAGGUGAGUCACAUUGGAAGUUCUCUUAAGUCAGAUGCUUGGUCCCUUAGUUCAGUCUUUUCUGCAACAUGGGUGGCUCUCCAGAGCUUUUUUUCAUGA